GAAAACUUCAGGAAGUUACUAGAAGAUCAGGGAUAUCUACAGAAAGGAAACAAGCAAAACUCCUCACUGCUACCAAGAGGUGAAGGAAGUGAAUCUAUCCUUUGCUGUCAAAGGCUACAAGCAGUUUCAGAAGAAUAAAGCAAUAUACAUAACCAAAGCUUCUGAGGUUACAGAAAUAUUUACUUGUUCCAAUCAAGAAUAAGGAAAUCACCUCUACACACUAGAUUUUUAACAAUACAGCUGAUUGUAUGGAGAGAAAGAGAUAAACCAAUCCAGCAAUUCAUCACACAGAAGCAGGUCAUAUUUCGAGAUGCAAGGAUGACACAUGGCUGUAGGUUAUAGGAAGGAAGUAGCUGAUCCAUCCUUUU